CAACACUCAAGCUCUGCUUGGCGUUGGGGAACCACAGCGAUUCCGCGCUGUGGCCCCCGAAAACUAGUGGCGGGACUGUGAAGGAACCCGGACGAAGUAGCUAUUACAACGUCUAGGGAUGCCGCGCAGCUUCCAGCCGUAAAAACCGCCGGUCUCUUUACGCGGCCGAAAUUUUACG
rnacentral:misc_RNA from 1 species